UGGCAACGCACACCUGGGGCUGAUCACCAAUCAUUGGUUUGAAAGGAAGUGCCACAGAGCAUGCAGUGUGGGAUUAUACUGUUUGUUCAGGACACUGGCUGGACAUUGAGUGUCUCUGAGCCUUUUGCUGGUCUGGUUUACAGAGCUGCCUGCAUUACCAGAGAGACCUCCACAUAGAGGUCCUGGACCCCGCCUGAGUUGCCUGAGCACAUGGCCUCCAGAAAGAGGACGUGCCUCCCCCAGACUGCACCGACCAGCUCUGCCCCGCUCAGAGACUCGGAGUCUCCCCCAAACGCCAGCAGCCACUCAUGCCGUCAGCGCCAGCGUGUGCCCCCCUGGACUGCCAAGCCUCCGGAGCCUGCCUUCCUUCCCACCAUCCCAACGUUACUACGUGCCGAGCAGAAGGUCAGAAUCCACAGCUGCAGUCUGCUGCACUUUUGAUGACACUAAGCAAUAAGGAGAAAUUUCCUGGUGUUUGCAGAUCAUGAAGCAUCAUGAGCAAAAUAAGCACGGCAGUCAACACCAUGACUGAGUACUUCCACCUUGAAACUGCAGAGACUGGUGAUGGUCUCAAAAACCCUGUUUCAGAAAGACUGGGAUUUCUAUGUAACAAACCCCAAAAACUAUUUUGUCCACUUGCAGGAUGAUGGUGUUUUGUGCAUCAUUAUUCUUCUUCAGCAUGUUUUUUUUUGUUGUUUUUUUAGUUCUAACGUAUGGCUGAAUUACUCCAAUACUACAACCUGCCACUGGGCAGUUUUACAGUGUCUGAGCAGAGUUUGCAGGUGAGCUGAUGUGCUUGGGCUGCAGCAAAAAGUAAAGAGGUGCAACACCUUCUAAAGGAAGCAAUAUGUUAGAGUUACAUCUAAGACAUGUUGAGGCAUGAAAGGAUUACUGUGGUGACAAAAACCCUUCUAAAUGUGGAAUUUUAAUGCAUGGAGGUGGGUUUAAUCAAUGAUUAUAGAAAUACUUUAACACCCGAGUUUAUUAACAUUGACUUUGCUUUCUUAUUUGGGAUCCCACAGACCUUAAUUUUGGAUCUGUAGAAAUAACAGCAAUGACAAAAUAGACGGUAAAUAGUUUUUGUUUCUGGUUGCACUUUGACCUAAAACUGUGCUGAAGUAAUAACCCUUAAAAACUGGGCUUGCACAUUUGAUGACAGAAUAUGGAAAAGGCAUAAACUACUGUUAAUACAGCAACUUGGGAAAUAGCUUAUGUGGAAAAAAGUUUUCACACAUAGAAACAUACAGUAUGUCAUUCUCUAAUGACGUUACCAGUGUUUGGGGUCAGUGUUGAACUUUCUGGAAUUCGUUUUAUGAACUAGCUGUUGUAAAACUCUAAUAUUAGAACAAUCUGUUUCCUGGGAGGAGUAGAACGGCAAUCUCCGCAGCAGUUAUUGAUAAAGAGCACAUGACAGUCUCUUGCAGGAAACCAGGUUAAUGGUUAAUAGUUAACUGGAACAGAUAGUUAAAAGUCUCCAAAAACACAACACAUGCAGACUGAUUUUCUUCAGCAGCCUUCUGAAAUACGUGAUGAGUUUCAACAUCUUGUUUCUAAGUUGUUCUCAUACAUUUGGUAUCAAGCCGAUUCACUAUGAGAGCACCUGUGUUUGCUGGAUGCCAAACAAAACAUUUGGCUUAAGAAUAUUUUGUCAACCUGGUAUUUCCAAGGUGAAGAACGUACCUUUGUUAUUUUUCACUGAUGGAAUCUGUAAACACAAUAUGCUGCGCAGUUCAGGCAUUCAUCAGGCUUUUAAAGAGGAACAAAUAAAAGGAAGCUCUGACUUUUAACAACAUUUUACAACCUUUAGUCAUUGGUUGCAAUGAACAGCAUUUGAAACCGGUUAAACACGUUUCUCUACAGUUCGGCACUGUGCUCUCUGCUAAAACAUCUUUUCCAAAACGGUUUCAACAACAGAAACAGAGAAGUAUGUGUGUUUAACCUAAAGUUAAGAUAACUGUCUCCUUUUUCAAUUUUUUAUGCAGGCUUUAUGGAGUAUCUGUGAAGUUUAAUCACAAAAUGGCUGUGGAAAGCAUUGCAGCCUGUGUUCUGAUGCUGCUCAGAUGAUGAAUGGCCACCAUCCAAAUUCAUAAAUCAAAACACACACAGGUUGCCACAGAGGAUGAGCAGGAAAAAACUAACUAUGAAAAUAAACUCAUUAAUUCAAGGUCAGGAGGGUAUAAACGCCACAUCAGAACCCAGUAAUAACAUUUUUCCCUGAGUCUUUCCUCUCUGAAAUUACAGCCUGAAACUUGUUUGAAAGGUCUCAGUGGGACGAAUACGUUAGAGGAGACUUCUCUGUCAUUAAUUAGCUCAAUGAUCUCACAUUUUUUAAUUAGUCUGCUGUCACUCUCACAGGAC
ensembl:lncRNA